rnacentral:sRNA from 1 species
CAGUGUUUCGUCCUUUACUCAUACCACAACAGCAAUUCAUCUCAACCUGGCAUUACCUAACUGCUAAUUGAUCCACAGUGUAAAUAAUAUACGCCUACGAUUGUUAUUUUCAACAAUAAAUCUAACAUUGCUAGAGUGCACCAAAUUUAUUUCAAUUCAAUAAAACUGGACAUAUCGACACAGUUCCAUCCAAUGUACUGCAACUAAAAUUUGUUGUGGUCCUUCUAGCAAAUAUCACUUCCUCAAAGCAUCACGUUUGUUGACAUCACACUCUAGGACUGGGGGUCAUUAAUCCUUUUGAUGACGAGUUCUUUUGGUCUCAUUGCUUUCGACAUAAGUAAAACCUUAAGAGGUCGGAGUGCAUCCUCUUUGCUAUUUAUAUAAACUUCGUCUUUUCUCAUUUUUUUAACAUAGCCCUGCACUUCGCUGCUAUCCCAUGGUAAUCCGAUCAUUCCCACACUUGAAAGCAUACCCCAAUUAUGCAGUAGUCCUAUGCUUUUAAUCUUUUCCUUUAAGCUGAUGCCCUCAUUACUGUCCCAAUCAGCAAUGACCGGCUCAAACACUUCUUUAAAUCUUGCAGAUUCAGGGAUUACUAACAGUAGUGUUGCUGUUGCAUUUUGGAGGACUUCCUUGGGUGUAGUAGAUGGGUCGUAAUCCCAAAGAAUAUCUACAGCAUCUAAGGCAUGUCUCCUGCUUAGGGGUAGAUCUUCCAGUUUUCUAAACCCACCCAUCCCACCCUCUCCGUAUCCUCCAUUAAUUUCCAAUUCAGUGGAACCCGGGAUCAAAACUUUGUACCCAUUGAAACUAUACCAACCUCCAUAUUUAUCUGUGAACCCUAUCAAGUAUAAGUUAUCGGUCCUAAAAGCCAAGGUAACGGACCCCUUACGGGCAAUUAGUCUGGGUAGGAUCCAACCAAAUGGCACUUCUCGAUCGGUAUCUGUUUGAUUUCUAAGAACCUUCAGGGUCCCUAAGUGAAAUUCAGAUUCUUUGGUUGCACAGUCAAUGAAGCUAACAAUAAAUGAAGCCUGCUGAUCCUGUUUGAGGUCGUAUGUCAUUUCAUAAAUUUCUGCUCCAGUCCCCCUGAAUGGUUCAUCUAGUGAUUGCGCACUGACAGCAUGAACUAGAUAUGAUAGUGCCACCAGGAUCAACAAAUUAGUGCUAAUAAUUUCUUUCAAGCUCGUGGAGGUACUGCAUCUGUUAUGUUUGAGUCCGCGGCGAGCUUCCAUACAUGCUUUCGCCGCAACGCGGGGAUGCAUACCCCUGUUAAGUUUCAGUCCACCGCGAGCUUCCAUACGGGUUUCCGUUGCAACGCCGGAAUGCAUACACCGUCUCAUCCGCCGACCGGCCGGCCGGCGGCAGCUGACAAGGCUUUUCUUGCCUGACGAAACGGCUCACUGAUGGCCAGAUCGACGAGGGCCGCGGCAGAUAGGCCCCCUGGAGCUACCUGAAACGGCUCACCAACGGGAGAACGAGGGAGGCCGCGGC